UGAAUCUCAUCAGUGCCACAAGUGUUUUACUAAAAAAUGUGUAAGUGUAUUGCUGGAACGUGUGUCUGCUGCUGCUGCCAGUGUGCAAUGAGUAUGUUUAUCUCAUUGCUGUUCGUCUUUAUACUGAUCGCUAUAGCUGUUGCUGUAGCCAUAUACUUCAAUCUAUUCAAUGUCGACGAUACAGCUCCGGACGUAUCUGAUUUUGUUCACAAAACUGGCGAUUCCAUCAAGCACAGCAUCAAGGAAAAACUCUCCUAGUUACGUUGUAACUUAUGGCUAAAACGUCUGCCUCACUUUUAUAUGAAUUUCAAAAUAAUACUUCGAGCAGAAUUAUUGAUAAGCUUUCAGUCACGAUAAAGUUGUUUAAGAACAUGAUUUGGCCAUGAUUGUAUGCUGCGCUAUGUGCGUUUUGCGUGUUUAUAACCAUCGCAUUCCUAAUUAACGUGCUUUAAUCGUCUUUGCAUAUGCAAACAUCAUAUAAAAUCUGAUAUUCGAUAAAUAAAACUACUCAGGAAUCAUCAAAAAAUAGACAUCCAUAAUGCCAGAACUUUAACGCUGUAUUCUUUUUGCCAUUGCACUUGCUUUGGCCAUCUACUACGGAUUCAUUCAUGUUGACGAGUCCACUUCGGAUGUGAUCAAGGACACCGGAUCAAAAAUUAAGCAUUCCAUCAAAGAUGGCCUAAAAAAGCUCAGCGAUGAUUAAGCAAUACCAUCUGUAAUGUAAUCAGGGCAUAUGCUGAUCUUGACCAACACUAUUUUCUCAUCAUAAAUUAUUUAUAUUGGAAUUUUUCAACGCGUACCCACUAUAAAAUGUCUCUCGAAACAUGGAUCUGGAAAUAAUCUAUAUGGCUUCCUAAAUAUUUAACUGUGUACAAAAUAAGCUUUCUUAUACGAUAUUUCAAAUAAUAAAUGGAUUGA